UACGGAGGUGGCAAGCGUUGUUCGGAAUUACUGGGCGUAAAGGGCGCGUAGGCGGCAAGGCAAGUCAGGUGUGAAAGCCCCGGGCUUAACUCGGGAAUUGCAUCUGAAACUGCUGUGCUUGAGUUCUGGAGGGGGUAGUGGAAUUCCCAGUGUAGCGGUGAAAUGCGUAGAUAUCAGGAGGAACACCUAUGGCGAAGGCAGCUCGCUGGGACGGUACUGACGCUGAGGCGCGAAAGCGUGGGGAGCGAACAGG
rnacentral:rRNA from 1 species